rnacentral:rRNA from 1 species
CAGUCGAACGGACGAUGAAGAGCUUGCUUUUCAAGUUAGUGGCGGACGGGUGACUUUUGCGUGGGUAACCUGCCUCAUACAGGGGAAUAGCAGCUGGAAACGGCUGAUAAAACCGCAUAAGCGCACAGUGCCGCAUGGCACAGUGUGAAAAACUCCGGUGGUAUGAGAUGGACCCGCGUCUGAUUAGCUGGUUGGCGGGGUAACGGCCCACCAAGGCGACGAUCAGUAGCCGGCCUGAGAGGGUGAUCGGCCACAUUGGGACUGAGACACGGCCCAAACUCCUACGGGAGGCAGCAGUGGGGAAUAUUGCACAAUGGGGGAAACCCUGAUGCAGCGACGCCGCGUGAAGGAAGAAGUAUCUCGGUAUGUAAACUUCUAUCAGCAGGGAAGAUAAUGACGGUACCUGACUAAGAAGCCCCGGCUAACUACGUGCCAGCAGCCGCGGUAAUACGUAGGGGGCAAGCGUUAUCCGGAUUUACUGGGUGUAAAGGGAGCGUAGGCGGCGGAGCAAGUCAGAAGUGAAAGCCCGGGGCUCAACCCCGGGACGGCUUUUGAAACUGCCCUGCUUGAUUUCAGGAGAGGUAAGCGGAAUUCCUAGUGUAGCGGUGAAAUGCGUAGAUAUUAGGAGGAACACCAGUGGCGAAGGCGGCUUACUGGACUGACAAUGACGCUGAGGCUCGAAAGCGUGGGGAGCAAACAGGAUUAGAUACCCUGGUAGUCCACGCCGUANACGAUGAAUACUAGGUGUCGGGGCNCAUAAGAGCUUC